CCUACUUCCAAACAAGUUCACGUUCUGAGUUGCUGAGGCUCAAGAUUCCAACAUAUGAAUUUGGGGGAGGACACCGUCCAGCCCAUCAGCCAAAUGCUACUGGAUUCACUGUUAAGAAUUUGAAAUUGUCCUAUUUAAUCUGCUAAAUCUGCUGUUGAAGACCAGAGUCUUCAGAUCCCAAGGAGCUGGUGUCCUGCAGCUUUACCUGGUCUACACUAGGUGUCAUUGUGAACAAUGUCUACGCCUAAAGAUUGAAGAGGAUUCCAGAGACUGCCAUUCCUUAUAGUAUUUCUUUUCCCUGAACAAACUGAGCAGUUAAUCACAAGAUCGACAUAAUAUCAACAAAUUUGUGCUCGUGGAUGGAUCACACCAAAAGUUAUAAAGCCUUAAAAGCAGUAUUUAAAUGCCUGCAUCUAAAACCAAUAUUUAAAAUCAGUAUUUAAGGACAAAAAAGACUGAGCUACUUGAGACGCCUCACAUUUGCUAUGAUUUCUUGCAUUUCGGUUGCCCUUUACCUUAUCUAGGGUUGCCAGCCUGUUCUAUUCUUUCGUCUCUAUCCAUCCCUCUCAAAGAUUUCCAAGAGCCAGCACAGAGAGGUUGGCAUAUCUUUCUGCCACCCGGCCCUCCCUGGCUUUCCUGUUUGUGCAAGAAGCUUGUUCGGUAGAAUCUUGAAGUCGGCGAUGCUCAUCCCUGACUGCGUAUUAGAUUCACCCUGCGAGGUUUCGGAUGAUGCUAAUUUCUCAACCUCAGAUUUUCUGAUUGAAAUAGUUGGGGGAAGGGCCCAUGCACAAGCAUUGCUUUGAUCUUUUUAAAACGCUUCUGAUGAUUCUAACAUUCAGCCAGUUUUACAACCGCUGAAACAACUUUAGCCUAAGUCUCAAAACCACUGUUUCUGAAUGUGUGAUCCACAGACUUCCUACAUCAUCCAAAAAGACCAAUAAAAAAAAGGUAAAUAUCCAGGUUUUAUCCCAAACCUACCGAAUCAGAACAUGGGGACGAUGGAGGUCCAGACAUCUGCUUUCAACAAGUCUUACGUGAUUCUCACGACUUGGGAACUACUGCUCUAAGGCAGUGGUUCCCCAAUUUCUUUUGCAAGGACUCAUUUUUUGGUUACUUUUCGUCACCAAGGACAAACCCUGUGAAGCUGUGACACGCCAUGACACACUCUGUUGGUUGGCUUACUCAGAAGCGAAUUCUAGCCUUUUUCUCCCUCCUUAUGUUUCACAGUAGAUGCCAGAAAAGCUAAAUACCCGCUUCUGUGAACUCCCACACAGCUACUAGCAACAAGGCACCAUGACCCAGUUCGGUGAACAAGUCCAGGGCAUGUGCGCUAAGUGGGACUGGCAAACUCUGGCUUCUUUAUAAAAGGGACUGUAUAAGCUGCAUGCUCCUGGCUUCAGCCCUUCCCUACUCUUAACGCUUUGAAGCUGGAUGUGAUGCCAUCAGGUGACCAUAGAGGGACGGCAAGGGCAAAGACAAAGGACCAACACGCUAUGGCUGACAAAGUAGAACCCAACAACCUGGAUCAUUGCCUUUGUCAAGAAGCCCACCAUUGCUAUUGCCAUCAGCAUUCCUAACUGAUGAGUCCCCCACUGCCCUAAUUCAUUCCAGAGAAAAACAGGACCUAGUUGGAAGUCUCCAUUUGUCUUCCUUCCCAAACCUUUAAUAUCACCCAAGAAUUUGUCUGCAAAACUUAAUAUAUAAAGUCUUGAACCCCAGGCUCCAACUCCACUUCCACCGUUUAGCCCUGGAAGUCUUUCAUUCUACUGCCCUCCACCCAAAAGAAGAACCCUGUCACCAGCUCAUCCUGCCCACCACCGAGUUUUUUGGAAGACUAAUUAAUGUACAAGAAACUUGCAUGCGUUUAAUGUAUACAAUUUGAUGAGUUUGGACAUAUGCAUACACCUGUGACACCAUCACUGCCAUCAAGGCAGUGCCCUGAAGGAAGGUGCUGGUCACAAGUGAGGAAAGACACUAAUUGCUGAAGCUAUAUGGAAAUUGAGAGUUUCUGCUAGGAACUAAAGGGACAAUAUUGUAAAGUGACAUUAGCAAGAUGGCAAAAUAGGAGUUUAUUACCAUCGUCUUUCCACAGGACAUUACAUUCAACAUUCACUCACAGAUAAGAAUAACUUUGUGGGAGUUUGGGAAUCCAGCAGAGAAUAUUCAGCGCACCACUGAAGCGAAAAAUCUGAGAAUAUAUCCAUUGAAGAGGAAUAUUGAGGUGAUCUUCAUGACUGAGGAAUUGCGAGUGUCUAGAAAAAAUAAUAUUUAUUACCCAGAACUUCUUCAUAUAACCUAUGAUUGGGUCCUUUUAUUCUAAAUCUAACUGAUGAAGAAGUUAAGUAUCAGAGAGUUAGAUGUGAUCAUGGUUAUUAGCUAAUAAAGGAUAUAUUGAACUUG